UGAGGCAGCUGGUUCCAAACCAGCAAAACUUCAAGGCCCUCCAAGUCCCCGACUUGCCGUGCUGGGACUCCACAUCUGAUUCCACUGGAGCGAUUUGGUCUUCAUUCUCCUCAUCUGCUAUCCUGGGGAUACACUGCAGAGAAGAUAUAUGGCCUCUUUUAAGCUUGCGAGGCCGGACAGAGGAAAAUUGGGGGAGACCAAGAUUAAUUCUUCUUUGAAGAUACAGCUGGCAAGACCUGAAAAGUGGGCUGAAAUCUUUGCUACCCUGUGAGACUCGGAUCGUCUGCACUUACACAUUUGCUGCCAUUGUAUCUUAAGACACAAACCAAGAGCCUGUUGGUCGCAGCCAAAGUUCAGCAUCCAAAGAGAGAAUUACUUCUGGACAACUGACUCUUACAGUGACUCUGGGUCACGAUUUUAAAUCACGAACCAUAGUAAAUUAGUUUACAGAAGACUGGGAUGAGUGUACAGCCAUGCCAGGGAAACUGGUCUCCUUACCUUAUUACUGAGGACUUUUUAUGACUAACCUGGCUUCUUGUCCCCUAAAGGUAGUACAUGCAGGUCUGGGUAUAAUUGAAGGUCCCAGAAAGAAAUGGUUGACCUUUUGCCUCUACUGCCCCCAACAAAGAACUUUAAACAUGGUCUAACACUCGUCAGACAUAUAGAUCAAUGGAAUAAAGACCAGAAACAGACCACA